rnacentral:rRNA from 1 species
CCAAUAGCGUAUAUUAAAGUUGUUGCAGUUAAAAAGCUCGUAGUUGAAUUUCGAGAUCAAAUUGUUGGUCGUGCCUCGGUACGUACUGGUAAUUUUGGUUUCUCCCUUCUGAAGAACCAUGAUGUCAUUAAUUUGGUGUCUUGGGGAAUCAGGACUGUUACUUUGAAAAAAUUAGAGUGUUUAAAGCAGGCUCGCGCUUGAAUACAUUAGCAUGGAAUAAUGAAAUAGGACGUUUGAUUCUAUUUUGUUGGUUACUAGGAUCGACGUAAUGAUUAAUAGGG